GAUGAACGCUAGCUACAGGCUUAACACAUGCAAGUCGAGGGGAAACGAUGAGAGAGCUUGCUCUCUUAGUCGUCGACCGGCGCACGGGUGAGUAACGCGUAUCCAACCUGCCUCUGACCAAGGAAUAACCCGUCGAAAUUCGGACUAAUACCUUAUGCAGUCGUCGGAAGUCAUCUGAUGACGACGAAAGAUUUCAUCGGUGAGAGAUGGGUAUGCGUCUGAUUAGAUUGUUGGCGGGGUAGCGGCCCACCAAGGCGACGAUCAGUAGGGUAUCGGAUAGGAGAAGAAGGUCCCCUAGAUCGGAACUGAGGCACGGACCAAACUGCUACGGGGCGCAGCAGAAAGGAAUAUUGGGCAAUGAGCGUAAGUGUGAACCAGCCAAGUGGCGUGCAGGAGCACUGCGGUAUGGGUUGUAAACUGCUGUUAUGCGGGGAAAAAGUGAGGGACGUGUCCUUCAUUGCAGGUACCGGAUGAAUAAGGACCGGCUAAUUCCGUG
rnacentral:rRNA from 1 species